GUGAGGAAUAUUGGUCAAUGGGCGGGAGCCUGAACCAGCCAAGUCGCGUGAAGGAAGAAGGAUCUAUGGUUCGUAAACUUCUUUUGCAGGGGAAUAAAGUGCAGGACGUGUCCUGUUUUGUAUGUACCCUGAGAAUAAGGAUCGGCUAACUCCGUGCCAGCAGCCGCGGUAAUACGGAGGAUCCGAGCGUUAUCCGGAUGUAUUGGGUUUAAAGGGUGCGUAGGUGGUUUGAUAAGUCAGCGGUGAAAGUUUGCAGCUUAACUGUAAAAAUGCCGUUGAAACUGUCGGACUUGAGUGUAAAUGAGGUAGGCGGAAUGCGUGGUGUAGCGGUGAAAUGCAUAGAUAUCACGCAGAACUCCGAUUGCGAAGGCAGCUUACUAAGCUACAACUGACACUGAAGCACGAAAGCGUGGGGAUCAAACAGGAUUAGAUACCCCAGUAGUCC
rnacentral:rRNA from 1 species